UUUUGGCACAACAGAGGGCUCAGCCCCAUUCAUUAGUUCACAGUCAUAAGCUAGGGCUCAGCCUAAAUCAUCCAGUCUCAUUAUGUCUCAAAAACCAAAAACACGGCUGUCCAAAUCAUCAGCAGAACUCUAAGUUCAAGAAGAGUUACAAAUGUAGCAGAUAAACCUUAGAAAAAUAAUAGAGGAGGCACAACUCAAUCAAAGAAAGCUAAAGUGGAAGGGGGCAUGAAGAUAAUCUCAUUG
rnacentral:misc_RNA from 1 species